rnacentral:rRNA from 1 species
CUUCCGUAGGUGAACCUGCGGAAGGAUCAUUAUUG